rnacentral:rRNA from 1 species
GACGAACGCUGGCGGCGUGCUUAACACAUGCAAGUCGAACGGAAAGGCCCUGCUUUUGUGGGGUGCUCGAGUGUUGAACGGUUGAUUAACACGUGAUUAACCUGCCCUUGACUUUGGGAUAACUUCAGGAAACUGGGGCUAAUACCGGAUAGGAGCUCCUGCUUCAUGGUGGGGGUUGGAAAGUUUCGGCUGUUGGGGAUGGACUCGCGGCUUAUCAGCUUGUUGGUGGGGUAGUGGCUUAACAAGGCUUUGACUGGUAGCCGGACUGAGAGGGUGACCGGCCACAGUGGGACUGAGAUACGGACAAGACUCAUACGGGAGGCAGAAGUGGGAAAUAGGGAACAAUGGGCGGAAGCCUGAUGCAGAAACGCCGCGUGCGGGAUGACUGCAUGGGGGUUGUAAACCGAUAUCGCCUGUGACGAAGAGUGAGUGACGGUAAUAUGUAAAGAAGCACCGGCUAACUACGUG